rnacentral:rRNA from 1 species
AUGAACAUAGCCCUGCUCUCCAAAUGGCUAUGGUGCAUUGAGGCAGGAGAUGGGGGCCUAUGGCUCCAGAUCAUCCGUGCAAAGUUCUUGCGUGGACAACCCCUUGCCUUCACCCCCCGAACAGGUGGAUCUCAGUUUUGGCAAUCGGUCAUCCAACUAAUGCCGGUCCUAUGGAUUGGGUCGUCUAUCUCGGUAGGGACGGGUACCAAAACCCUGUUC